rnacentral:lncRNA from 1 species
AGAGUCCAGCCGGGGGUGCCGCACCCACUGGGGAGUGGGGAGGGAGGACACAUAGGAAAUGCCUGGGGCUGGAGUCUCUUUGGCUCUCUGCCAGCAAGAAACUUAAACGUCCUGGCUUGCUCAACCCGAGUGUCCCUAAACUGUCCAGACUUUUGCCCGUCCAUUGCCACUAUCUCUCCCCACUCUGGGUGUCCUACCCAAGGCGCUGUCUAUGCGUGCCCAGGGCCUGUCCUGCGGAUACCCAGCUCGCCCCUUGCAGCCCUUUUUAGAGCAUCUCGCGGGCUCUGGCAUCACCAAGCGCACAGCCCCGGGCUGCGCUCCCCUAAGGUGGGUCCCUCAGAUCCGGGGCUGUCCAUUAACCAGGCUGGCCCAAAGAGGCGCAGACACUCGAACCCGGGAAAACUUAUUUUAUUCUCGGUUCCCGGGGUUGCAGCUGCCAGCGGCUGAGACAGUGCGUCCGCUUUGUCUCUCUGCACUCCCCGCAGCCCCCCUCUCCCGCUUCCUCUCCCGAUUAACUCCCCCGACACGCUCUUCUCUAGCUCCUCUCCUCCUCCCACUCCUUCUCCUCCUCUUCCUCCUCCUACACCACAGGCCGCGCUAAUGCGCUUCCUCCCUCCCCCGGUGUCGGUCUCUUUGCAUACGCGCCCCCUCCCCUCCCCGCCGCGCCACUUAUAGCGGGGCGCACGGCGGCGGGGCGCAGACUGCUCUGGCAGCCGGAGAGGAGGCGGUGCGGCGGUGGCGCUGCGGAGACCCGGUCCAGACGCCUGGCGGCCGCCGGCACACAAGGCGCUUUCUAGCUCCCUCCCCCGAGCGCACAGCCCGCCUCCUUCCGCGGCGCCUGCAGUGGCAGGCUUGCUCUGCCCUACCGUGACGCGCUCCGGAGACGCUCUGCGGGUCCUGGACACCGGGUCCGCGGCGUGGGGACGACAGACGGAGGCGAACGCCAUCGGUAGCCGGUCCGCGAGCCAUCGUUCGGGGCGCAGUCCUCUCCCCGGCUGGCCCUCCUUUCUCCGGGGCAUUCGCCACCGCUUCCCUGGGCUGAGACGACCGGUUCGUCGCCUCCUUGCCCGUGACCGUCGCUAGAACUCAGUUGUGCGUUGCGGCCAGUCGCCACUGCUCUCACUCCAUCACUCGAUGAGAUAAUAUGAGAUUUCUACUUCGGAGAGGCCAAGUCUAAUGAAGAGAAAAAAAGGAAAAGAAGUUGCAAGACUCGAAUAAAAUCUGCUGCACCUUGUAAAUGCUCUAACUGGACAUGAAGGAAAGGGGCGAGGGAGGGGGGUGGGAUUUUUGGUGCAAGUAGCACAUGGUUUAAAUAUGAAUGAACAAACCUGUGAUCUAGUCCUUGUCUUGUAAUUGUGGAUUAAUGUCAAUGUUAAUCAGCCCCUCAAAGGGAGAGAAAAGCUGGACCUUUUCCCUUGCUGUACCAUAUUCAGCAUUUGAUUUCCAUGGGCCCCACCAUUUAUGUGUAGAAUUUGAAAUGGUUGUCACCUCUCUCUGAGGACAGAGCUUGAAGCCUCCACACCAGCUGCUGCUGGAGAUUCAAAGCCCAACUGUGGGUCCGAGAGGGAAGCUGGCUGGGCUGGCUGAAGAAUGAAGACCACUGGACUCUCCGUUAAUCUCUAAGGGGUCUGCUCCCCAGGAACGUUUCUGAACAAUGGGGACUUUGUUGGUAGCCAUUUGGUAGAUGUUCUUUUCUAUUUAUAAGUGACUUUAAACUUUCCCUUGGCUGUUAAGAAGUUUGUUAUAGAUUUAGCUAUUUAUUGUUCGAUGCCUGCAUGCUGAAACAAUGCCUACAGCUGUCUUCACAUGUAUGGACGUGUGUGAAUGGUUGUACGUUUUGCACAUUUUGUGGCUGUUGAGAUGUGCUUUGCUGCACAAACAUGAAAAUUUUUGAGUUACAAUUUGGAGCAUAACUGGAGGGUGGGUUGGGGAGGGGUGGAUUUUUAAAAUGUCAAGACAGGGAAGGAUGACAAAAUGGAAAUUUAAAUGACAUCCUAGAGGUAGAGAAACCGUGGAGAUCGCUUUUCUCAGACUCACCAACUUUUAAUGGGAUUUCAUGGGGUUUGGUUGUGCUGAUAGGGUAAGGGGAGGCUGCUUUCUGCCCUUCUCCCCACUCCCAUCUGAUUUACUUAAUUCAGUCUCAGCUGCUGAAAUUUGGAAAGGACCAAAUUGCUUUACAGUUUUUUUCUUUGUGUAGUAUCUUGAAAUCCUGGAAAAUUCUAUGGAAUAGUUCUGUAUAUAGGGCACAAGUAAAGGCAUUGUCCAAAGUUUAUUUAUUUAUUUAUUACCCUAAGAAUGCUUUGCCAUAACCACAUUUAAUGGGAAAAACGGCAGUAUCACAGAUGUAAAUUAACUCACCAGAUUUACUGGGCCUGAACUCAUUCUCUUCUUGCUAUAUGAUUUAGCAAGUUCUAGAAGGUCUCCAAGACAAUAAUUACAUUGGCACAAUGUAUACUUCAGUGCUCACCCGUAGGCAAAUCUCUUUUUAAAAAACUCUUUGGUGCACAAGUAACACAUUUGGCCACAAAACACCAAAGAAUUGUAGGCAGUGGCCCCUAUUGAGAAGUUUUCCGGUAGAGUUGGAAAUCAGUUGUGAAUACAUUCUUUGCUAGUUGGAGUGCUUGUUUACUAAGCAUGUGCCGUCGUAGGUAUUAGUGCUAGUCUCAGAUAGGUGCUUCCCCUGAGGUGCAGGGGAAGACCAAAGUUUGCAACUCGAACUGCUUUCGUCCAUGUUUCUCACAUUGCUGUAUUUUAGAAAAUAGGGGUUAAGACUGAUAACAACCUUUUACAUUGUGACUGUGUUUGCAUUGUCUAAUGACAGAUAAAUCCUUAACAUUUCUCUCCACCUUAGUACUUUAGACUAAUUGUGUUUGUCCGUCCAUGCCAUGAAUGAGUGGGCUGUAGUUGGGCCUAAAUAAAUGAGCUGUUGGAAGAAAAGAAUCACAGUACUUUCCAGCAGUCAGUCCCUGGUUCCUAGAUGUGUUCUAAGCAAUGCAAAUGUCUAAUUGUCCCCCAGUGGGCAUAGUCAGUGUCGUUUAUAUUGUAGCAGUUACAGCUCUGUAGUUUAUGAUGCAAAUCUGCCAAGAGAGAUGUAUGUGUCACUGCAUGGCUUCUGAAAGCAGGAUGAAUUUUCUGCAGCUGUUUCAAAGUUGGGGUCUGUUCUUGAAUCCUCUAUUAAUUACUGUGUGUGAGCCAGAGGGAGCUGUGGUAAGGGUUGGGCCCCCAGCCUGUAGGGAACUUUCUGGACUCCCACUCUUUGAAUCGAUAUAGGCAUUUGGUCUCACUACUUGACCAUUCUCACCCUGUGAAACGUCCCACACUUUGAAGCAAAUACAAUUCACAGCACAGUACACACAAAAACCUUGGCAUAAGACAGAGAAGGUUCUUCUUAUUUUGUGGGCUGGUUGCUGUAGAAACACAUAACAAAGGGCAGCCCUCCACUUCUGGUAUAAUUGUGUAGCCCCUUUUCUUUGGGCUUGACACCUGUCUUGAAUAAGAGUGAUUAGAGCUGCAUAAUGUCCCUCUCUUGGCUAUUGACCAUGUGGUUCACGUACAAAACUCUGUAUAAGUUGAAGGAAAAUGUUCAUGUUCAUAUGUACUUGUUUGCUAUGACUACAUUUUGAGGUUUUGUAAAACUGUUAUUUUUUUUUUUUUCACAAUGUGAAACUGAAGGUCAAUAAAUUAUUAGAGAUUUUCUCUUCAUUA